GGCGGGUUGCCCGAGCGGCCAAAGGGAUCUGACUGUAAAUCAGACGCGUAAGCUUCGCGUGUUCGAAUCACGCACCCGCCACCA
rnacentral:tRNA from 2 species